rnacentral:rRNA from 1 species
UACGUAGGGUGCAAGCGUUAAUCGGAAUUACUGGGCGUAAAGCGUGCGCAGGCGGUCUUGCAAGACAGAUGUGAAAUCCCCGGGCUUAACCUGGGAACUGCAUUUGUGACUGCAAGGCUGGAGUGCGGCAGAGGGGGAUGGAAUUCCGCGUGUAGCAGUGAAAUGCGUAGAUAUGCGGAGGAACACCGGUGGCGAAGGCGGCAUCCUGGACCAACACUGACACUGAGGAGCGAAAGCCAGGGGAGCAAACGGG